rnacentral:rRNA from 1 species
CCUACGGGUGGCUGCAGUGGGGAAUAUUGCACAAUGGGCGCAAGCCUGAUGCAGCCAUGCCGCGUGUGUGAAGAAGGCCUUCGGGUUGUAAAGCACUUUCAGCGGGGAGGAAGGCGUUAAGGUUAAUAACCUUGGCGAUUGACGUUACCCGCAGAAGAAGCACCGGCUAACUCCGUGCCAGCAGCCGCGGUAAUACGGAGGGUGCAAGCGUUAAUCGGAAUUACUGGGCGUAAAGCGCACGCAGGCGGUCUGUCAAGUCGGAUGUGAAAUCCCCGGGCUCAACCUGGGAACUGCAUUCGAAACUGGCAGGCUAGAGUCUUGUAGAGGGGGGUAGAAUUCCAGGUGUAGCGGUGAAAUGCGUAGAGAUCUGGAGGAAUACCGGUGGUGAAGGCGGCCCCCUGGACAAAGACUGACGCUCAGGUGCGAAAGCGUGGGGAGCAAACAGGAUUAGAUACCCGAGUAGUC